CGCCCUCAAGCUGUCGGCGUCGGCUCGCCGGCCAUCGGGAGCCUCGCAACGCAGGCACCGUUCGUCUGAUAGGUUCUCCGUCCCCCCUCCGAGCGCUCUCUCUUUUUUGCUCUCUUGAAAGCCCUAUCGGGCGAUACGGGGUUCGGAAGCCCUCCGANNNNNNNNNNNNNNNNNNNNGUCGGCGUCGGCUCGCCGGCCACCGGGAGCCUCGCAACGGAGGCACCGUUCGUCUGAUAGGUUCUCCGUCCCCCCUCCGAGCGCUCUCUCUUUUUUGCUCUCUUGAAAGCCCUAUCGGGCGAUACGGGGUUCGGAAGCCCUCCGACGGCCACCGCCGGCCUCCGACGGCUUCCACCUUCCUCCCCUUUCCUCUCUUUCUCACUUUUCAUUUUUUUUUCUUCGGUACCGUCGGUGUAUCGAUUUUACCGAUCGAAUCGUGCUGGUUCUCCAUCGGUCCGGUACGAGAUGGGGUGUAUCGGCCGGUUCGGCACGGUAUAGCAAACCUUGGUUAGAGGCUUUUGCUCCAGAUGAUGAGGCACAGAUUGAGGCUGUCAUUCAGGCGAGCUUGACUAAUCAGUAACGGCAGGAGAUGGCCUGGUAUAGAGAGCGAUUUGGACAAUCAUGCUACGAAUCGUGGUCUGGAUCAGCGAUUGGUGGGGGAGAAUUCGAGUUCAGGAGGACUAUCUCAGUCAGAGAGGCCGGUGGUAGAGGGAGCAGACACAGCAUAUCUUCUUUGUUGGAAGCUUUUGGCAGUAGGAAGAGGUCCUCCAGAGAUAUUCCAGUAGGAGCCACCAUCUAUGAUUUGGAUCCACAUGCUUUGCCCAGCAAGGAUUCAAAGCAGCAGAGGAUUGACACUAUGGUGAAAAAAGAUAAGAAGGAUAUGUGGCGAGCUAUUGGAUCAUGAUUUUAUUUCAGUCAUAUUCUAGCAAAUGCAGCGGUCAAUCUUUACUACCGAUUUGCUAUUUUAGCCAUAGAGACUGCCGGUCAGGGUGUAGAUCCGUCAGGACCCAGAGACAUUUAUGGUCAGCUUCUUGACAGCAACAAAGAGAAUUUGUAGAGAUGGAUUGCUUCUUACAAAAAUAAAUGGUCUACAUACGGACUGACAGUAAUGUGUGAUGGUUAGAUCGGUUCUACUAGACGGAGCAUCAUUAAUUUUUUGACAUACUGUGAUGGAAAAAUAUUUUUUCACAAAUCAAUUGAUGCUUCAGAUAAGAUGCAUGACGCCACAUAUAUCUUUGGUUUGAUGGUGGAGGUGAUUGAUUCAGUGGGUGAGCAGCAUGUCGUGUAGGUCAUCACAGAUAAUGGACCACAAUAUAAAACUGUCGGAGAGUUGCUAAUGGAGCAGCGACUGCAGAUAUACUGGAUCCCAUGUGCUGCACAUUGUAUUGAUCUUAUAUUGAUGGAUAUUGAGAAGAUUCGUAGGGUGUAGCAGGUAGUGGAGAUUGUCCAGACUAUUACUAGAUUCAUCUACAACCACACAUGGGUUCUUUCAUUGAUGCGGACGUAUACUGGGGGGAGAUCUUAAGACCGAAUAUCACACGAUUUGCUACCAACUACAUAGCACUUGAUAGUCUUCUUCAGAAGAAAGCAGUCUUACGUCAGAUGUUUGUUUGUGCCGAGUGGCAGGAGAGCAGAUAUGCGAGGGCCGACACUGAUGGAAGUUAUAUGGAGAAUUUGAUGAUGAGUCAGUCAUUCUGGCAGCGGGUUGAGAAGGUAGUGAAGGCUAUUAAGUCAUUAUAUGAAGUGCUUCGCAUCGUGGACAGUAAAAGAUACCCCUAGAUGGGCUUCUUAUAUUACAUGAUGGAUAGGACAAAGAAAUACAUCAGUGAGAAUGAUCCGAAGCAUGCUCAAGAAUUCAUUAACAUCAUUGAGCACCGUUGGGACAUCAGAUGGGUAGAGAUUUGCAUCUAGCCAGUAAGCACGGAUUCAAGAAUAUUUUAAAAUAUUUUUUCUUAUGCUUGUAAAAGUGUACUUAAUCAGUCAUGAAAUUUAUCUGCAGCUUAUUAUUUGAAGCCGAGAUUUUAGUAUACCAUUCUCGGGUAGAUAUGGACAAUGAGCUUCUUGCUGCUCUUUGUAAUGUGAUAUAUAAGAUGGUACCUGAUUCAGAAAUCGCGUCGUUGUGUCUGCAAGAGAUGCUAGUUUAGGACAGAUGUGAUUAUUCAACUGAAUUCGAUCUAUACUCAACGAUAUAUUUAUAAAUUUAAUAAAUAUAUUUUUUUAUAGACGAAACAGUUUAGAGAGGGAUCAGACAGUUUUGGAGUUCCAUCAGUUGUCGUAAGCAAAAAGCAGAUGAAUCCAGGUAAAUUACAUAUCAAUAAUGAGUAGCAUAGAUUGAUAUGUAAUUUUACUUAAUAAUAUCAUAAAAUUUGAUAUGUAAUUUUGCUUUUGCAGCUGAACGGUGGAUUCAUUUUGGAAUAUCUGUAGAACAUUUGAGAGGUGUGGCUGUUCGUAUUCUUUCUCAGACGGUCUCUGCUAGUGGUUGUGAGUGUAAUUGGUCGACUUUCGUCCUUAUCCACAGCAAACAGAAAAAUCAUCUGACACAAAUGCCUCAACGAUCUUGUAUAUAUUCACUACAAUUUGAGAUUGAGGCUAAAAUGCAUUCAGGAGGAAGUACAGCCGAAGUACAUUGAUCCGACGCUAGAUGAUUAUGUUGACGAGGACGACGAUCCGAUCAUCGAAUGGCUUGCAGGUCAGCAGCAGAAGCCAGAGCUUGAUGAGGCAGGAUCCCCUCCACAAUCAGCCAGUGUGGUAGCUAGGAAGAUCAGGGUGGAUCUAGGGCAAUGGGCAAAAAAAAAUAUUUCAUAUAAGGUUCCAGCUGAUCAGCCACAGCCUGAGGAGAUACGGGGGACUCAUUCAUCACAUGACUCGAUGUCCGAUAUAUCUUCGCAGAGGUUCGAGCGACAGAUGUAUAGACGAGGUCGGCAGUCAGCAAAAAGAUAUCCAUCUUCUCAAUCACAGGAAACUCGAUCACAGAGGGGCAUAAAGGGGAAAAAGAAAAGACAGUUGCACGUGCACCACUCUUGAGAGUACAGGAGCUAUCUGGCUCAGAUUCAGACACCAGGGAGAGAUGAUGAUACUGGUAAUAGUAGCCAUGGAUCUGAUGAUCGGGGAGGAACUGGAGGAUAGGAGAUCACUGUUUAUGAGACACAAUCACAGGGUGAUAUUCGAUUCACCGAUGAGUCCCAGUUUACACAUGCCACACAAGAUAGGAAUCAUGAUGGACGAGUCGGUAGAGCGUGGGGAGUUGAUUUCAUAUAGACGACGGACUCUUAGAGGUCGUCCAGCACACGAUGCAGCUGCAGAUGAUCUUGCACAUGGAGUAGGAUCCAUGGAUGUAUUUGGAUCUUUGCAUUAUGGUUCCUAUUAUCUGCAGUCACUUAUGAUUCAUAUGGAUAUGGUGCAUCCGAGGCAUCGUCUUCUAGUGGUUACUACCCUAUGCAGUCUGGAGCAUCUUACGGAUCAGAUUUUGCUAUCGGCAUAUUCGGAUGGGCUCCUCCACAGCUAUACCACAUCUCGAGGAUACUUCUCAGAGUCAGAGUUUGAGUGAGAUCUGAGAUAUCUUACAAUCCAGAGAGGAUGCUCUAUGGAAUGAAUAUUCAAGAGUACGGUGCAUCUUGGUAGAGGGUUGGACGAUGUUCCUUCAGAUUAUGUUAAUGAUCCAGAUAUCUACGAGCGUCACAGACACCCAAUGAGAAAUUAAAUACAGAAUAGAUCUUGAGGUUAGUAUAUCAGUUGUGCUUUGUACUUUAAACGUUUAGAUAUAUUUUAAUGCAUGUUUUAUAUAUUUUUUAAAAAUUUUAGGAUGAUAUAGUUGUAAUAUAAUAUAAUAAAUAUAUAUUUGAAAUUUUGGAUCAAGAGUUCUUGUACCGCUAUUUAACUAAAAAAUUGAACCCAAAUAUGUCAAUAAUAUGCAAGAUAAUGCAAUUUUGGGGUUGUAUUUAUGAAUUAAUAACUUGAACAUCCACAAAAAAAAUGAAACAAAAAAAAAUGUAUCGAGGUCUGUCCGAUAUCGGUACAGCGGUCCUUAGUCCCAAGGUCUGUCCCAAGCCUAAGAAUCUCUCCCUAAAGAGGGUAAUAUGAGGAGGACACCUCUUCAUUCUUAUGCUCCCCCUGAAGAGAUGACUUAGUGGAGAAAUAAGGCUUAGAUUCCCUAAAUGUGACAUCCAUGCUAACAAAAUAUUUUUUUGAAGGUGGGUGAUAACAUUUAUAUCCCUUUUGAGUAUCAGAGUAACCCACAAACACACAUUUAAGAGCUUUAUGUUCUAACUUUCCAACAUUUGUUUUAAGAACAAAACAAACACAACCAAAGAUCUUUGGGGGAACAGUAUAAGCAGCAUUUGUCAUAUCGUGCCGAACCGGUCGGUACACCCCGUAUCGUAUCAGACUGGCGGGUAACCGGCACGAUUCGGCCGAUAAAUUCGGUACACCGACGGUACGGAAGGAAAAAAGAGAGAGAGAGAGAGAGGAGGAGAGGGAGGGAGGUGGGAGCCAUCGGAGGCCGACAGUGGCCGUCGGAUUGCUUCGGAGCUCCGUAUCGCUCGAUAGGACUUUCAAGAGAGUGAGAAAGAGAGAGAGAGAGCGCUCGGAGGGGGAAGGGACCUACCGGACGAACGGUGCCUCCGUCGCGAGGCCCCUAGUGGCCGAUGAGUUGAGACGACGGCCUGAGGGCGGUCGAGCGGGCGGAACCCCUUCGCGGCUCCGCCCCCUUUUUUGAAACAGACGGAUGUCUGUUUCGAUUUUUUUUUUUGUUUAAACUCAUGAAGUCGGCAACCCAGUUGCCGACUUAAGGGAUUUUUUUUUAAAAAAACAAAAAUCAUGAAGCCGGCAAACUAUUUGCCGGCUUCACUUAAAACUAUCUUUUUAAAAAAAACUCAGCUUCACUUAAAACUAUCUUUUUAAAAAAAACUCGCGAAACUGGGGCGACGCCCCUGUUUCACGCCCGCGGUGCCGCGCGUGCGGAUUGCACCCUUCGGCGGCCAUGGCGGCCAGAGGCCGUCCGGCGGCCCCACCGGCUUCUUCCCCUCCCUCUUUUUCUUUCUUCCUCUCUCUCUAUUUCUCUCUCUCUCUUUUUCUUCUUCCAGUUCGGGUCCGCUUGCCUUCGUCGGUUCGGUAUGGUACGAAACCGUACCGAACCAUACCGUCGGCCGGCCGAUACAGCCGACGGUACCGGUUCAGCAUACCUUGAGUAUAAGAAUUACUAUCCUGUAAAAUCUUUAAAGGAUUCUUAAAAUUCAGUAUUCUAAGAGGCAUUCUAUUGAUAAGAUAUGCUACAGAAAGAACAGCAUCCCCCCAAUAAGGUGUAGGAAGGUUCAUGGUAAACAUAAGGGAUCGGGCCACUCCAAGUAAAUGUCUAUUCUUUCUCUCGGACACUCCAUUUUAUGCACUAGUAUUUACACUAGUCUGGUGCACAAUUCCAUUUGAAUCUAAAUAGGCAUGAAAGACUCCAUUUAUAUUAUUAUCAGUUCUUAGAAUCUUAACCUGAGCAUCAAACUAUGUACAAAUUAUUUUGUGAAUCUGUUGAAAGCAAGAAAAUACUUCAUGUUUUGCUUUCAUCAAGUAAAUUCAAGUCAAUCUAGUGCAACAAUCAAUAAAAGUGACAAACCUUCUAUAAUCGGACAAAGACCCUGUUUGGGUAGGCCCCCAUAUAUCAAAAUGAAUAGUCAUAAAAGGAACCAAACUUUUAUUAUUUAUUGGAGGAUAAGAAUGUCUUGUGUAUUUAGCAAAUUCACAAGCAUCACGAACUAGCAAUUCUGGUUUGCAUUGUCUAAAGAAAAUAGGAUAUAACCUUUUUAAAGCAGAAAAAGAAGGAUAUGCUAAUUGUCUAUGCCACUGGAUGAUCUCUUGUUCAGCACUCAUAGAAUGUCCUAACAAAGCUUGGUUGGGAUCAGGAUUUGAGAGACCACAAGUGUCAUCCAAAAGAUACAGGCCAUCUUGCAAUCUACCACUGCUAAUCGUUCUCCCUGUUUUCAACUCCUGAAAUAUGCAAUGAGUAGGAAAAAAUUCAAUUUUGCGGUUAAGGGCUUUAAUAAUAGAAUUAACAGACAAAAGAUUAAUAGAAAUGCUAGAAACAUGAAGAAUUGAAGCUAGAUUUAUGGUGGUAGUACAUUUAACAGAACCUGUUCUAGAAAUAGUGGCUAAGAACCCGUCCGCUAUAUGGACUUUCUUUUCUUGAACAUGGAGAAUAUGUUAAAAAUUUAUUUGGAGAGCCUGUCAUGUGUUUGUUUGCUCCAGAAUCUAUAACCCAAAAAGUUUUUUCAAGAUUUGCAAGAAAAGCAUUAUCUGAUUUGACAAAAAUAGAAGAGACAGCAGUAGUAGAUUGAGAUUCAAGCUGAGACAACAAACGCCUUAGGGAUUGAACUUCUUCAUUAGAUAAAAUCUCAGUAUUAUUUGUUUCCUCAGAGAAAUCCAUUGUUUCAGACACAUUCGCUUGUGGUCUUGAUGAACCCAUUUGCUUACUACCACGCCCUUUGGCUGGGUGACCAUGCAGUUUCCAGCAAUGUUUUUUAGUAUGCCGAGACUUGCCACAGUAGUCACAGUGUAACUGAUCCUUGUCUGGAGGAUCUUGAUGAGGAACAUGUGAUUGCUCUCAUGAAGAGGCAGCUACUAGCCCUGCCUUGUCAACAGAGGAUGAAUGGAUCAUGACACUCCUUCGACUCUCCUCUUGUUGGACAUAUGAGUAUGUUUGCCUCAAGGAAGGUAUAGGAUCCUUUCCAAGUACUUAAAUCCAUAUCUGAUCAUACUCUAUAUUCAAGCCAGCAAGAAAAUCAUAUAUGCGUUCAUUUUCAAUUAAUUUCGGAAACUUAACAGCAUUAGCAGCACAUGUGGCUUGAAAGUCCUGAUAGUAAUUCAGUUUCUGUCAUAAACUACUAAAUUCAGUAAAGUACUGUGCAAUAGUCAUCUCAUUUUGUUUCGUUUCAGAAACUUUGUUAUGGAGCUCGUAGAUCUGUGCAUUAUUGCCCAUUUGAGAGUAGGUUUGAGAAACUGCAUUCCAAAUAGUGGCUGCACUGUUCAACAACAAAUACCCCCGAGCAAUCUGAGGUUGCAUAGAAUUGAUAAGCCAAGACAUCACAAGUGAGUUUUCUGAUUCCCAUUGAGUAUAAUUAGAACUGGUAAUUUUUGGUUUUGGACUAUCCCCAGUAAUAUACCCUUGUAGUCCUUUAGCUUGAAUGAACAAAAGACAGGAUCUAGACCAUGCUGGAUAAUUAGUUCCAUCGAGCUCAACGGGACUGAUUUGUAAGAUGGGUUAUCACUCACAAAGGCCAAUUUUGUUUCAGUCACAGCCCUCUUUUCCUCAGUCAUGUUUCAGCAAAUAGGAGNNNNNNNNNNNNNNNNNNNNGAUAAUUAGUUCCAUCGAGCUCAACGGGACUGAUUUGUAAGAUGGGUUAUCACUCACAAAGGCCAAUUUUGUUUCAGUCACAGCCCUCUUUUCCUCAGUCAUGUUUCAGCAAAUAGGAGAAAAAGCACCGAAGAAACAAAACACUUAGCACCAGUAAAAAGAAAAGCAAACCAGGUCAAGAACCAAGGCUGGGCAGAGGCACGACACACGAGGAAGGAUGCAGAAAAAGGAAUGGUCGGAAAAAGCUGCCGAAAAAGAGGUCCAUGCGCCGGCACUUGGAAAGGAGGCUAUGGCUUGUGAUGGCACGUGGAGCCACGUGCUUCACCGGACGGUGAUGAUUUUUUGGUGGCGGGCCGAUCGGCGGCUGGGCUUCCUCCUAGGGCAGGCGGUGACACUCAACCCCCCCUGUAAUAGGUCACUAGAUGUUUGACCCAAAAACCCUAAUAUGGCUUUGAUACCAUGAAGAAAACAGAAAUUUGGAGAGAAUUUCUUUGUAUCUUUCUGAAUAAUAAUGCUCUUUACAUAGCUCCUAUUUAUAUGCAUCCACUAGUCCUAGAAUAGGAAGCUAAAUAAUUAUAAAAGGAAACAGAAAUAAUUAGAGGAAUCAGCUAUAUACAGACACUGAAAUUAAUUCCUAAUAAUUUGGGAUUCUUAUAAUCAUGGGAUUCCAACAGAUGCCAUACCUGUAACUUACCUGUAUGAGUCAAGCUGCUGUAGUAAGCCGUCGUACCAACACAUGCUACAUUUUUGGAGUUGAGAUUGCUGCAGUUCCAUGUGUCGGUAUGAGGAUGUACCAAGCAGCUAUACCAUACUAGCAGCAUAGUGGAUGGGGAUGGUAUUGUCCAUACAGCCAGUACAGCUUGGUACUGUAAACCCUGUAAGCCAUUUUGAAAAUGUGCUUUAUGCCUUUACCCUUAUAGUCAGGACUGAUUUUGGGUGGCAAUUUACUAGAUUGGCUUGAAUUUUUCAUGUUCAAAUAAUUCUUGUUUCAAGUGCUUGGAGUUGGCAUGACCAUAUAUCUUGGUGUACAUAAACUUUGGCCUAAAUUAGAGUAGAGUGUCUGAUGGAAUGGAUAUGCGCAUGCUAAGCUCUAACCUAAUAAUUGUUGCUAUAUUCUAGGCUUGGACCGAGCUUAAGUAGACCUCAUUCCGAAGUAGUCCAAUCAAUUGACAUUAUGAAAAAAAAAUUGUGGGAUGAUGUGAACAAGAUCUAUGCCUACUUGGAGAAAAGAGGUAAUGAGCGCGAUAGUAAAAACUUCUCUCUUCCCUUAAAGGUAUCCAACAAGAAGAAAGAGAGGAAUGCUGAGUACCCUCUAGGCAUCCAUCAAGAAGACUAGAAGAAGGGAUAAUUAGAAGAAACCCAUCUUUUGAAAUGAUCAACCUAGUUGCUCCUCCAAUUACUGGGCUAUGCUAUUUUUAGUAGAAUAUUUUUAAGCAUAUAUAUGCAAACAUUAGUGACCAAGAGACUUUUGAAAAGAGACAAUGCAUGAACUGAAAUGACAAGUUUCAAAAAGAGAAUUCCCCUAGUGAGGUAAUAAGUUAAAUGUAACCACCCUCAUCACAUUCUUCAGUCGUCAAAAGAAAAAAAGAAGUCAUGGAUGGGUUAUCAUCAAUUGGGGUGGGAGGGGGGGCGCGAGCAGGUGCUGUCUAAUAGUGGAGGUCUCCAUGCACUUAAUUCCAAAUCAACCUGAGAUAAAACACUGAAGAUUUUAGAUAGAACAAGAAUGAAGCUUAAUUCCUGGAAGUAUGUUACUAGUGGGAUGCAUGUUGGCAUUGUCGGGACAUCAAUCCUUGGGUCUAGUAUUUUGCAUAUUCGUUUCUAUAUUCACAUAACCGAUCACAAGGAUCCAAUAUGGAUGGUUUGUUCCAUAAUUUGACUUUUGGCGAGCCUAUUUAGAAACUCAUUACCUCGUUAUGGUCCAAAUAUCAAGUUGUUGUGGUUGGCAUUAGACAUUGUUCCACAUGGUGUUGAUGCUUUGCUUUCAACUACAUAAUAAAGUCCACAAUUCUAUUAAAAAAUUUGCAUACAAUAGUCUUAGAUACAAAUAGAGUAAUUGUUACAGGGGGGGUUCGUGGAAUCAUCCUGAACUGUUGGGUUCAAGGCAUGUCGAUCCAUGUUGACAGCGGAUUGGGAUGGUUUGACAGUCGAAAGGAGAUAUCGGUGAAAGAGGGGAAGGAGAAGGAAAGAGGAAAGGGGAGAGGGAGAGAAGGGGGAGGGGGAGGGAGAGAAGGUCAUUGGAGGCCUCUGUAGGGCUGUCGUAUCCAUGGAAUUCUUUAUCGAUCUUAACCGGCUGGUACAUCUCGUAUUGAGCCGGAUCGGAGGGGAAUUGGGACAGUUCGGCCAAGGAAAAUGAUGCACCAGAGGAGGGAGAGGGAAAGAGAGAGAGAGGAGGGGAGGAAGAUAUAGCACGAUGCCGUCGGAGGUUGGUGGUGGGCCGCAGAGGCCUCUACAGCUCGACGUCGUUCGAUAGGGUACUUAAUCGAGCAAGAAAGAAAGAAAAAAGGAGAGCGACGUACCGGAGGGAGGCGCAGCCAGCGGAGGGGUUGUCGGAGUUUGCCGAGUGGCCGUCGUGGCUACCGGACGGUGGAAACCGCACGGGCUGAGCCGCGGCCGUGGAACAGGGGUGAUCAUCUCUAUUCACGCACCGGCUCUUUUUUUAAAAAACGAAGAUGAACAGUGAAGCCGGCAAACACUUUGUCAAUUUCACUGUUUGAUAUUUUUUAAAAAAAGCUAAGAAAUAGUGAGGCCGACAAAUCUAUUGCUGGCUUCAUUGUAAUUGGGAUUUUAAAAAAAAUUAUGAAACAGGGCGAUAGCCUCUGUCUCACUCGCGGCAUCGAAGGCCACGAUUGCGCCGUCCGACGGCCAUGACAGCUAGCUAGUAGCCCUCCGACGGCUUUCUCUCCUUUUC
rnacentral:lncRNA from 1 species